AGAAACAACGGCCCCCCGAGGGUUUUGUACCGUUUUCUAGGUCUCGUGACGCAUUCCCCACAACUAUUUUUUCUUGAGCACCUGGAAUGGAUAAAAGUGGCAGUUUUUGUUUCUUCCCAUGAGGUUGUGUAUCUGGACUGAGAACCAGGAAAUUAAUCUAGACUAAGACAUUUCUAAGGACCUGGAAUGGCUUUGGGGAGCACCAGGAGGACCUGAAAAGAGUAUUUGAGGGCCUAGAGGGACAGAAGAGUUUGCCAGUAGGAUUUAUGAGAAACAAUUGAUUAGAAACAGCAGCAGAGAAACCUUUUAGAUUUCUUCUGUGGAAAAGUUGAGUCUUGGUUCAAAUUAAGUAAAAUAAACACCGAAGAGAAAUCAAAGUCUCAAAUAUAAAAAGUAUGUAACUUAUAGUGUAAGUUUAGGAAAACAAAUGAAAGGACAGAUCUUUAAAAAUUUUUAACUAUGGUGAAAUACUUGUAAAACUUUUGGGCUCAUCUCUAAGAAUUGCUGUGAUUCUGAAACUUGAUAAUAUCUCAAAUAGAGAACAGUUUCAGUGAAAAAUAGCACUUGAGAAUAAAUCAGAUGUUCCCAAGAAAG
rnacentral:sRNA from 1 species